rnacentral:lncRNA from 1 species
ACAAAUUAGGUUAAUGAUAAUGGGCCUAAGUUUAUUUUGAAACCCAAUAUUAAAUUAAAAACUAAAUAAAGUUAAAUAAUUAAAAUAGUUAAAAUUAAAAUAAAAACUAAUUAACCUAUUUAUUUAUUCUAGACCCAAUAUAAAAAUAAAUAGACUCAAAAAAAAUAAAAGUCGGGCACCAAAAUGCUCGAAAAAAUAAAAUGAACACGUCAAAAUAAU